rnacentral:rRNA from 1 species
AUUGAACGCUGGCGGCAGGCCUAACACAUGCAAGUCGAACGGUAACAGGAAGCAGCUUGCUGCUUCGCUGACGAGUGGCGGACGGGUGAGUAAUGUCUGGGAAGCUGCCUGAUGGAGGGGGAUAACUCCUGGAAACGGUAGCUAAUACCGCAUAAUGUCGCAAGACCAAAGAGGGGGACCUUCGGGCCUCUUGCCAUCGGAUGUGCCCAGAUGGGAUUAGCUUGUUGGUGGGGUAACGGCUCACCAAGGCGACGAUCCCUAGCUGGUCUGAGAGGAUGACCAGCCACACUGGAACUGAGACACGGUCCAGACUCCUACGGGAGGCAGCAGUGGGGAAUAUUGCACAAUGGGCGCAAGCCUGAUGCAGCCAUGCCGCGUGUAUGAAGAAGGCCUUCGGGUUGUAAAGUACUUUCAGCGGGGAGGAAGGGAGUAAAGUUAAUACCUUUGCUCAUGGACGUUACCCGCAGAAGAAGCACCGGCUAACUCCGU